rnacentral:snoRNA from 1 species
AAGACUAUACUUUCAGGGAUGAAUUCUGUAGUUUAUUACUAUAGAAGUUUUUCCGAUCAUGUAGAGCACUUGAAGGUGCACAUGUAGAGAAGCCAGAGCAUUCUCUUCUGAGAUGAAGCUGAUUUUAAGAAUUGCUUUUGCAACUAACUGCCUUUUACCAUUGAUGAUCAUUCUCUUCCAUUGGAAGAGGAAGAGGAAGAAAAUGCAGUGCAAGUGG